AAACAUAGGCCAGGGCAAAGAUGGUAAUGAGGGACAGUGCCAGGAACGCCAGGACUAUCUUGAGAUGCAUGGUGGAUGCUGAGAGCUGAAAUCAGAAUUCUAACAGCUGCUCCUUCCAGUUACUGACAUCAAGUCGGGGUUUAUAUUCGCUAGGAUGGAUAGGAAGGGAGAAAACUCCACCCCAUGGGUUGGGCAGGAAAUUUCUGACCUUGAUUUAUGUAAUUCUGUUCCAAUUUUCUGUCCUGUGGUUUGGCCCAGGGCACUGCUUCCACAUGCAUAGCCUCUUCCUUGCCCCUGAACUCCCACUGGUAGCAGUCAGUACCAACUACUGAUUUCCAUCAUUUAGACCAGAUGAAAGGGAAUCUGGGUUAACGAUGCUAACCUCCAGUUUCCACCUGGAAUGGGUCUCAGGAAGAGUACAAACCUCAGAUGCCCAAUUAAGUUCUGCAGCCUGCAUGCAAGCACUAAGCUGUCCAUUUUCCUACCUCCUGGCAGGAACUGCAUCCCAACAGCUCCAGGAUUCACUGCCAUGUUCAGCAGUAAGCACUGAAUUCUACUUGUUGCCUAAUGCCAAGCCCUUGAUUUGUAGUCAGGCCAUUUCCAACCAGUGGAGUGGCUGAGGGCCUGGGCUUAGUAAUCAGGUUUGUCCACCAAUCCCAGUUCCCUCAGCUGUGUAACCUUAGCGGAAAUACUUAUCCUGAGUCUCAGUGUCCUCAUCUGUAACAAAUAGAUACAACUAUCCUAUAGAUUCCUGAAGAUUAAAUGUGAUCAUGCACAUUAGGUACUUAACAGCCUGGCACAGGGGAGGCACUCACAAACCGCUAGCUUUUGGUAGUCAUCUCUGAAACAGAACAGAGCAGCUGCUCCUCCAUUGUUCAAGACCUUAAACUCUUUUUACAGAGACAACGAGGGGAUCAUUGGAAACCAGAAGGCUACUUGCAAGGUGGAAGAUGAGGAAACUUUAUUUCAGAGGGAGAUAGAUUCCUAGGCAGCCCUCCAAGUAAUUUGAAAACCAAAACUAGGAGUCUCCUCAAGAAACUGAAGACAUUAUUCAGGAAGAAUUAGUAUAAGGUAAAGAAAAUGACUGGGUAGGACGCGCCUUGAACCAGUUCAUUCCUUACACAUGGAACGAUAGCAGCCUCUACUGGCAGUUCAUGGGUAUCACUCGGGAAGGAAGGAACUAGGAUCUUCUGAAAGUAGGGAGAGAAGGCAGCUUAGGUCUGGGAAGAGCUAACUUUCCCAUAAUUCAGACUGAACACAAAUGAAGCACCCAACCUUGCUCAGUAGGGUGGCUAGGUGUCCAUGGAGGUGGGU
rnacentral:lncRNA from 10 species